AGCGAACGCUGGCGGCAGGCCUAAUACAUGCAAGUCGAGCGCGCCCUUCGGGGUGAGCGGCGGACGGGUGAGUAACGCGUGGGAAUAUGCCCUUCUCUAAGGAAUAGCCUCUGGAAACGGAGAGUAAUACCUUAUACGCCCUUUGGGGGAAAGAUUUAUCGGAGAAGGAUUAGCCCGCGUUAGAUUAGGUAGUUGGUGGGGUAAUGGCCUACCAAGCCUACGAUCUAUAGCUGGUUUGAGAGGAUGAUCAGCCACACUGGGACUGAGACACGGCCCAGACUCCUACGGGAGGCAGCAGUAGGGAAUCUUAGACAAUGGGGGCAACCCUGAUCUAGCCAUGCCGCGUGUGUGAUGAAGGCCCUAGGGUCGUAAAGCACUUUCGCCAGAGAUGAUAAUGACAGUAUCUGGUAAAGAAACCCCGGCUAACUCCGUGCCAGCAGCCGCGGUAAUACGGAGGGGGUUAGCGUUGUUCGGAAUUACUGGGCGUAAAGCGCACGUAGGCGGAUUAGUAAGUUAGAGGUGAAAUCCCAGGGCUCAACCCUGGAACUGCCUUUAAUACUGCUAGUCUUGAGUUCGAGAGAGGUAAGUGGAAUUCCGAGUGUAGAGGUGAAAUUCAUA
rnacentral:rRNA from 1 species